rnacentral:rRNA from 1 species
GUAGGUGGCAAGCGUUGUCCGGAAUUAUUGGGCGUAAAGCGCGCGCAGGCGGUCCUUUAAGUCUGAUGUGAAAGCCCACGGCUCAACCGUGGAGGGUCAUUGGAAACUGGGGGACUUGAGUACAGAAGAGGAAAGCGGAAUUCCAAGUGUAGCGGUGAAAUGCGUAGAGAUUUGGAGGAACACCAGUGGCGAAGGCGGCUUUCUGGUCUGUAACUGACGCUGAGGCGCGAAAGCGUGGGGAGCAAACAGGGAUUAGAUACCCUGGUAGUCCACGCCGUAAACGAUGAGUGCUAAGUGUUAGGGGGUUUCCCGCCCCUUAGUGCUGCAGCUAACGCAUUAAGCACUCGCCUGGGGAGUACGCCGCAAGGCUG